ACAUCUAUUAACCCCAGUUUUAACGUUAACAGGAUCUUCCACACCUCAGUCUUCAGUCAGCUUGGAUACAGAUACACUGUCUCUAACUUAAAAAAGCAGUGAAGAGAGUGACUGGUUUAGUCCAAAACGAUUCAGAAAGGAUGAUGAUGAUGAUGUGGCAUCACAACAAGCACAGGCCAGAGAUCUGAUAAAACAAAUUCUACAGACAAGACCAGGUGGAGGAAAUGUGCUUAAGGAGUAUGAAGAUACAGGCACAAUUAGUGAUGACACAAGAAAAGUGAUGGUGAACAUCUUAGUUGCACACAUGAUGGAGACAGAAGGAAGGGUCCCACAUCGACUUACCAAACAGAAGUAUGGAUUGGGAAUUAUCACCUUGUUUCCCUCACUCAGAGAUCCCCAAGGAAGGACUGGAUAUGAACAUUUCUAUGAUGGCCAAAAAAACACUGGAUUCUUGUCAUGGCGCCUCAAGACAGUACAAAGGGGGACAAGACCUUCUGGAAAUAAGGACGAUCCAAAAACAGAAGAAAAGGGAGGUCCUUUGCUUGACAGACAGCUAUGUUACCAAGAACUUCAGCUAGAUAAUGAUCAAAGUGUAGAGGCCAUCUCUUUGAUGAAUCAUACAAGUGAACGUGAGGUCAUCAUGCAGAAGAUGAAGGCAACGUUUGAAUACAGACAGCGCCUUAUCCAUGAUCCAGAGGGAUCCACCACCAA